GAAGACCAAAAAUGAAAGCAUAUCGACAACCACAUUUCUUCAACGUGAAAACUGUUAGCUCUGCCCUGAAGAUGAGUCCCACAGAGGUUUUGCAGGGUGGAGUUACCGAGAAAUUGACUUCGGGGUGAGUAAAACUAAGAUCCAGGGAAGGCUGCAGCCACUUUUCCAGGGUAAGGGGCGGUGUCAUUUGCUUCCUCAUGCGGCGAGGACGAAAGUGAUUAUAAGCCACAGAACGUGGCGCCAGGGCAUAAACCAUUUCAGGAGACGAAGCUCUGACCUUCCAGGCACCAAGAUCUUUACCAACAACCCGGGAUGCUCACUGCAGGAGGGAGCGGGUGAGGAGGACACAGGGAUUCGAGGGCGGGACAGACAGGGAGAGGACACAGGUUCCAGAGACUUCUGUUUUAAGGCUCUCGGGGAUCCCUGAGAAGGCCCUUGAGGGCUCCAAGCGCGGGGAGCGAGGGCCG
rnacentral:lncRNA from 1 species